rnacentral:rRNA from 1 species
GUGGAUUAGAUACCCGGGUAGUCCACGCCCUAAACGAUGUCAACUAGCUGUUGGGGGUUUGAAUCCUUGGUAGCGUAGCUAACGCGAGAAGUUGACCGCCUGGGGAGUACGGCCGCAAGGUUAAAACUCAAAGGAAUUGACGGGGACCCGCACAAGCGGUGGAUGAUGUGGAUUAAUUCGAUGCAACGCGAAAAACCUUACCUGGUCUUGACAUGUACGGAACUUGCCAGAGAUGGCUUGGUGCCCGAAAGGGAGCCGUAACACAGGUGCUGCACGGCCGUCGCCAACU